rnacentral:tRNA from 1 species
UCCCCGGUAGCUCAGUUGGUAGAGCAAUUGACUGUUAAUCAAUUUGUCGGCGGUUCGAGCCCGUCCCGGGGAGCCA